rnacentral:lncRNA from 1 species
AAAGACUUUAAUUUCAAAAUUAGCUUACCAAGUAAAACUACAAGAUUAUCUAAAGAAAAUAAUCUAUAAAAUUACCCAAGUUUCUGAGUCCAUCUCAUACAAUGUUUUUACAUUCACAACAGUUAAUGUGUGUUCAGACAGGAGCAAAAACCAGGGAUAAAUUUGGUUGGAGAGAGAAUCCACUUUAGGGCAAAUACACAGUUUUUUUUAUUCAGUAAAAGAACUAGACAUAGUGACUUAUUUUUGGUUUGUCCCAACGUGCAGAGAUUUUUUUUACCUGGUUCUAGUAUAUAAACGAUAGAACUAGAACAAAGCCCCUAUACAAACUACAGAUGUUAUCAGAGAUCAUUCUAGUUUUGAAAAUUGGAGUUUGAAUUUAUUUGCUUAUCAAUAAUUUUCAAGACAGAUCCUGUGUGUGUUCUUUCAUAUGUCAGCCAAACAUUGUACAAAAUCCUAAAAAUCAGUUCAUCUCCAAAAUCAUUAAGAAAAAUUACUAGCAGGAUGAGUGUGCCUACAGAGCAAGGCCCAGGCCUAGCACCAGAAGCGUUGGUUCCUACUCUAGCCUUCCUUUCAGCUGUCUUCACUAGAGGCAGAAGGUUCUGCUAUCCAAGCUGCAGUGAUGCUGCAGACAAGCUGUGGUCAUACAAAGCUGACAGUGGUUCUUGUGACCAGGCUCUUGUUUUAACCAGCAGAGAAAUAUGUUUACUUGCAUGGAGAAAGGACGGGAAGAACAUGCACAUGAAGAUUGAGAUGGAUGGUAUGAGUGGCAGAAUGCAGUGGGGAUUUUUCAUUGGAAUCGUCUGA